UUUCCGUAGGUGAACCUGCGGAAGGAUCAUUACAGAGUUCAUGCCCUCACGGGUAGAUCUCCCACCCUUGAAUAUUUAUACCUUAGUUGCUUUGGCAGGCCGUGGAAACACCAUGGGCUCCGGCUUAUGCGUGCCUGCCAGAGGAAACAGACUCUGUUUUUAGUGAUGUCUGAGUACUAUAUAAUAGUUAAAACUUUCAACAACGGAUCUCUUGGUUCUG
rnacentral:misc_RNA from 1 species